UACAGAGGGUGCGAGCGUUAAUCGGAAUUACUGGGCGUAAAGGGUGCGUAGGUGGUUACUUAAGUUAGGUGUGAAAGUCCUGGGCUUAACCUGGGGAUUGCGCCUGAUACUGAAUAGCUAGAGUAUUGUAGAGGAAAGCGGAAUUUCCGGUGUAGCGGUGAAAUGCGUAGGUAUCGGAAGGAACAUCGGUGGCGAAGGCGGCUUUCUGGACAAAUACUGACACUGAGGCACGAAAGCAUGGGGAGCAAACAGG
rnacentral:rRNA from 1 species